rnacentral:sRNA from 1 species
CACAAGUUGUUUUCCUCUCCUCCGUACAGCAUGUGAAAAGCUAAUAGGAAAGUAGAACUUGAAAGAUGUUUGGCUCAAGGCAAGAAAAAAAAUCGCUAUCUGUCAUUAAGGAAACAUUUCACUGCAUUAGAUCACAAGUGGCGCAAUUGAAGACACAAGUACAACUCUAGAAUGCAACAAACUACAAAUGAAAGACAUUUUAAAGUCUGGGCCCAUUUUUCUUCAUAAUGCUAAUAAAACAAGGAAUUUUC